UUUGAUCAUGGCUCACGAUGAACGCUAGCGGCAGGCCUAAUACAUGCAAGUCGAACGGUGUCUUCGGACAUAGUGGCGCACGGGUGCGUAACACGUAUGCAACCUACCUUACAUUGGGGGAUAGCCUUUCGAAAGGGAGAUUAAUACCGCAUAAGACAGUAGCUGGGCAUCCAGCAGCUGUUAAAGAUUUAUCGAUGUAAGCUGGGCAUGCGUCCAAUUAGCUAGUUGGUGAGGUAAUGGCUCACCAAGGCAAUGAUUGGUAGGGGAACUGAGAGGUCAAUCCCCCACACUGGCACUGAGAUACGGGCCAGACUCCUACGGGAGGCAGCAGUAGGGAAUAUUGGGCAAUGGACGCAAGUCUGACCCAGCCAUGCCGCGUGCAGGAUGAAGGCGUUAUGCGUUGUAAACUGCUUUUAUACAGGAAGAAACGACUCUUGCGAGAGGCAUUGACGGUACUGUAUGAAUAAGCACCGGCUAACUCCGUGCCAGCAGCCGCGGUAAUACGGAGGGUGCAAGCGUUGUCCGGAUUUAUUGGGUUUAAAGGGUGCGCAGGUGGUUUAUUAAGUCAGUGGUGAAAGA
rnacentral:rRNA from 1 species